AGGAAGGACAAGCCCAUGGGGUCGGAAACACAGCAGGAACACAAACCAUUACCUGGAAGAACAAAAAGUGGGGUCCAAUGAGAGAACGGUUCUUUCUGCUUCCUGCUGUGGUCCACCGGAGACUGAGAGUUGAUGCUGCGAGACGGAGGAGUGCCCUCGCUCAUCUGCUCUUUACCUCCUUCUGCGUCUGAGCUUCCUCGCUCUGUCUUCCUCCACUUUGCUCUGCGGUUCUGAAACCAAACCUGCAUUAGAAGCAAAAUAAGGAAAGGUGGAGGAGGGGGUCUGUUGAAGGGCAGCCUACACUGCUGACGAGAAACCUUAAGUGCUUUCAUGGCGUCUUUGGCCACCCUGAUUG